GAAAGAGACAUGGAUUGGUUGCCUCCCCGAGGGGGGCCAGGGAUUGAACCUGCAACUGAGGUGUGCAACCCUGACGGGAAUAGAACCACAGACCCUUCAGUCUGUGGGACGGAGAUCUAACCACUGAGCCAAACUGGCCAGGGCUUGAGGCUGCAUUCCUUCGGCAUGUCUUUGGCAUUCAUCCAAGUUGUUGAUCAGAACGAACACCUCAGGAGCCACGAGGUGUGUGAGGACUGCUGGGGACAGCCCUGGUGGCCGUCUCGUGCACACAGGCAUCCUUCCGAAUAGCCGGGUGGUGGCGGGAUCCUGCUCACUCUCUUCCUGCUCAGGUCUCUGCCCUUCCCGAGGAACAGGAGAAAAUGACCAAGUUCCAGGAGCUGGUGACCUUCAAGGACGUGGCUGUGGUCUUCACCGAGGAGGAGCUGGGGCUGCUGGACCCGUCCCAGAGGAAGCUGUACCGAGACGUGAUGCUGGAGAACUUCUGGAACCUGGUCUCUGUGGGUGAGGACAGGCGCCCUCUGUAACUCAGGGUCGCCCUCUUUGUUUGCUCAGUUGUUUGAAGCUCUGGGACUCCUGAAAUCCUUCUCUGAGCUUGGGCAUCUAACAAGCCCUGCGCGGCAAAGACAAGAUGUUUCUGUCCUUUGAACUCUCAGUGAGCACACCGUGGGCCUGCCCCACUGCUUUGUCAUGAAAUCAGUUCAGUGAGUUGCUCCAGCUUUUUGUUUCUCAGGAUGUCAGUAACUGUUUUUAACUUGAUUUUUCAGAGGUAUUUUGUUUCUCACUUUAACAACGUAUUUGUAAGUAACUUUAAACUUACAGGACAUUUACAAAAGUAAAAAUAUAGAACAAGAACACCCAUAUGGCUUUUACCCAAGUCCCCCUGUAAUGACAUUUUACCCCCUUGCUUUGUCAUUUAUACACAUGUUCUUUCUCCAGAUAAUUUUUGUAUAUUUAUGAAAAUGUAUGCAUAUUCAUAAUAUUUUUUUCCUGAACAAUUUGCAGGUAACUUACAUAUACCAUCUCCCUUUACCUCCAAAUACUUCAGUGUAAAUGCAGGGUUUGGGAAUCCCCAAGACUACACUCUGUCAGACACCAGUUGCAAGUUCAGAGGUCCCCAGUAGUACCCCAAGGCUUGAUAAUUAGCUGGAAGACUCUCAGAACUCACUGAAAGCUGUUAUACUCAUGGUUACACUGAUUUCAGAGGGAGAGAGGGAGAGGGAAAAA